rnacentral:tRNA from 1 species
GUUAAGGUGGCAGAGCCCGGUAAUUGCGUAAAAUUUAAACCUUUAUACUCAGAGAUUCAAAUCCUCUCCUUAACA